AGUGAACGCUGGCGGUAGGCCUAACACAUGCAAGUCGAACGGCAGCACAGUAAGAGCUUGCUCUUACGGGUGGCGAGUGGCGGACGGGUGAGGCAUACAUCGGAAUCUACUUUUUCUUGGGGGAUAACGUAGGGAAACUGACGCUAAUACCGCAUACGACCUACGGGUGAAAGCAGGGGAUCUUCGGACCUUGCGCGAUUGAAUGAGCCGAUGUCGGAUUAACUAGUUGGGGAGGUAAAGGCCCACCAAGGCGACGGUCCGUAGCUGGUCUGAGAGGAUGACCAGCCACACUGGAAACGAGAAACGGUCCAAAACCCCUAGGGGGGCAAGCGUGGGGAAUUUUUGACAAUGGGGGGAAGCCUGAACGAGCCAUACCGGGUGGGUGAAGAAGGGCUUCGGGUUGUAAAACCCUUUUUUUGGGGAAGAAAAAAAGGAGGUUAAAACCCCGCCGUUCUUAAGGUUCCCAAAGAAAAAGCCCCCGCUAAACUCGUG
rnacentral:rRNA from 1 species